AUUGUGUUUCUUUUUCUCCCGAGGAUUUGACAUCCUUAAUUUCAAUAUUGAGAUUUUACCUUUUCCGCUAUAUUCAUCACCUGAUGUGCACCUCUAGCAUGGUCUUUUUUGAAGGGCAUAUCACUAGAAAAAGGGGAAUUGAUCUAAUUUCAAAUUAGCUUACUUUUAUGCAGCUCAAUAUUUCUUUGUUAGUAUGUAUUUUAAAUUCCACUUGUUGCCCAUCUAUCCCAUCAACUUGAAAUGGCUACUGAAUCUCUCCCAAACAGUAGCACAAGUUCAUCUUGCACUUUAAUCCCUUCCAAGGAUAUGAAGACAACUUGUCUGCACGAAACCAUAAAUGUAACGGCAAACUCUCCAGCUAUGGAAAUUCCCCAAGCCACCUUCCUUCCAUGAGAGCAUGUUUGGCUUACUUUCUAAGGCAGAACCAAACAUGGUCCGAGUCUUUUCUAAGUUUACGGUCCUAAACAAUUGUCCAUGGAGUUUUAUGGAUAUUUAAAAGUGGCCACUAGCUGAAUAGAAAGAAUUGAUGAAUCGAUAACAACUUAUCUAUUUCGAUCUUGAUUGGUGACAAAGACAGCUUUUUAUGCUAUGAAAAGAUUGCAGACAAAGAAAGAAGAAUUGUCAACCGGCAUGCCUCAAAGAGUCGCAAGAUCCGGUAAGUUGCCAACGGGUUCAUUAUGUAGUUGAUUCUUGACUCAUCCCAAUAUGCAUUUUUACAGUUGUCUAAAUUCCUUGGGCUUGAUAAUGCCGGUAUCAUGUUCAUGAAAAGAUUGUCAAUUUUAUGGCACAUCAGCCUAUGAAUCUUUCGCCUGAUGCAUCCAUGAUAUUUCAAAAUUUGUUUGGCCUCAGAACCCAGAAAUCUGCUUCAGUGGUAUAGCCGACUUUCUAUGCUGCAAAACCAUGUGA
rnacentral:lncRNA from 1 species